CUACGGGGGGCUGCAGUAAGGAAUAUUGCGCAAUGGAGGCAACUCUGACGCAGCCAUGCCGCGUGCAGGAAGAAGGCCUUAUGGGUCGUAAACUGCUUUUAUUUAGGAAUAAACCCCCGAACGUGUUCGGGGCUGAAGGUACUAAACGAAUAAGCACCGGCUAACUCCGUGCCAGCAGCCGCGGUAAUACGGAGGGUGCAAGCGUUAUCCGGAUUUAUUGGGUGUAAAGGGUGCGCAGGCGGGCUUUUAAGUCAGUGGUGAAAUCCCGGGGCUCAACUCCGGAACUGCCAUUGAUACUGAUAGUCUUGAGUUUGGUUGAAGUGGGCGGAAUGUAGCAUGUAGCGGUGAAAUGCAUAGAUAUGCUACAGAACACCAAUCGCGAAGGCAGCUCACUAAGCCAAAACUGACGCUCAUGCACAAAAGCGUGGGGAUCAAACAGGAUUAGAUACCCCGGUAGUC
rnacentral:rRNA from 1 species